rnacentral:rRNA from 1 species
GACGAACGCUGGCGGCGUGCCUAAUACAUGCAAGUAGAACGCACAGUUUAUACCGUAGCUUGCUACACCAUAGACUGUGAGUUGCGAACGGGUGAGUAACGCGUAGGUAACCUGCCUGGUAGCGGGGGAUAACUAUUGGAAACGAUAGCUAAUACCGCAUAAUAUUAAUUAUUGCAUGAUAAUUAAUUGAAAGGUGCAAUUGCACCACUACCAGAUGGACCUGCGUUGUAUUAGCUAGUAGGUGAGGUAACGGCUCACCUAGGCGACGAUACAUAGCCGACCUGAGAGGGUGAUCGGCCACACUGGGACUGAGACCCGGCCCAGACUCCUACGGGAGGCAGCAGUAGGGAAUCUUCAGCAAUGGACGAAAGUCUGACCGAGCAACGCCGCGCGAGUGAAGAAGGUUUUCGGAUCGUAAAGCUCUGUUGUAAGAGAAGAACGGGUGUGAGAGUGGAAAGUUCACACUGAGACGGAUCUACCAGAAG